UACGUAGGGGGCAAGCGUUGUCCGGAUUUAUUGGGCGUAAAGCGCUCGCAGGUGGUCCGAUACGUCGUGCGUGAAAGCCCCCGGCUCAACUGGGGAGUGUCGUGCGAUACGGUCGGACUGGAGGCCAGUAGGGGGAUGCGGAAUUCCGGGUGUAGUGGUGGAAUGCGUAGAUAUCGGGAGGAACACCAGUGGCGAAGGCGACUUCCUGGCCUGUUCUUGACGCUGAGGCGCGAAAGCUAGGGUAGCAAACGGG
rnacentral:rRNA from 1 species